GUGGGGAAUUUUGCACAAUGGGCGAAAGCCUGAUGCAGCGAUGCCGCGUGAGUGAUGAAGGCCUUCGGGUCGUAAAGCUCUGUCGGCCGGGAAAAAAAGUCUUCAACUAACAUUUGAAGAAAAUGAUGGUACCGGCAAAGGAAGGGGCGGCUAACUCUGUGCCAGCAGCCGCGGUAAUACAGAGGCCCCGAGCGUUGUUCGGAUUUACUGGGCGUAAAGCGGGUGUAGGUGGUGACGUAAGUCAGAUGUGAAAGCCCUGGGCUCAACCCGGGAAUUGCAUUUGAUACUGCGUUGCUCGAGUACGGGAGAGGAAAGUGGAAUUUCUAGUGUAGGGGUGAAAUCCGUAGAUAUUAGAAGGAAUACCGAUGGCGAAGGCAACUUUCUGGCCCGUAACUGACACUAAGAUCCGAAAGCGUGGGUAGCAAACAGGAUUAGAUACCCCUGUAGUCC
rnacentral:rRNA from 1 species